AAGCCACAAAGUUCGCUGGGAACUACUGGACACCAUGAUUGUGCAUAUUAAAUGCAUCCCGCAACAUACCUUCCAUGUCAUCCCCUCUAUCAGACUGAUGGUAAGCAGGACCAGAGUAAGAUACAUCCAUCGUUGAAGAGGAAGUACUAGGCGGGCAUUCUCCAUGAAAUAACCAUUGUUUAUAACCCUGAACAAACCCAUCAACAAUUAGAUGCUCGUAUACAACCUCACGACAAUGCCAGUUUAUGUUGACACACUUCUUACACG
rnacentral:lncRNA from 1 species